UACGUAGGGGCCAAGCGUUGUCCGGAUUUAUUGGGCGUAAAGAGCUCGUAGGCGGUUGGGUAAGUCGGGUGUGAAAACUCCAGGCUCAACUUGGAGAUGCCACCCGAUACUGCUCUGACUUGAGUUCGGUAGGGGAGUGGGGAAUUCCUGGUGUAGCGGUGAAAUGCGCAGAUAUCUGGAGGAACACCGGUGGCGAAGGCGGCAUCCUGGACCGACACUGACGCUGAGGAGCGAAAGCCAGGGGAGCAAACGGG
rnacentral:rRNA from 1 species